GACGAACGCUGGCGGCGUGCCUAACACAUGCAAGUCGAACGGAGUGUUUAUUUAUAAACACUUAGUGGCGAACGGGUGAGUAACGCGUAGACAACCUACCCUCUAGAUGGGGACAACACCGCGAAAGUGGUGCUAAUACCGAAUGUUGUAAUGUUGUUGCAUAAUGAUAUUACUAAAGGUGGCCUCUAUAUAUAAGCUACCGCUAGAAGAUGGGUCUGCGUCUGAUUAGCUAGUUGGUGAGAUAACAGCUCACCAAGGCAAUGAUCAGUAGCCGGUCUGAGAGGAUGAACGGCCACACUGGGACUGAGACACGGCCCAGACUCCUACGGGAGGCAGCAGUGGGGAAUCUUCCGCAAUGGACGAAAGUCUGACGGAGCAACGCCGCGUGAGUGAAGAAGGUUUUCGGAUCGUAAAGCUCUGUCUUCAAGGACGAAUGUAGGUAUUGUGAAUAAUGAUAUUUAAUGACGGUACUUGAGGAGGAAGCCACGGCUAACUACGUGCCAGCCGCCGCCGUAACAC
rnacentral:rRNA from 1 species